rfam:Myotis davidii contig34527, whole genome shotgun sequence.
GGCUGUUCUCGGAUGACACAACCCGGAAUUGGGCUCCCUCAUCUCUGGUUCUGGGUGCAUCACCUAAGAACCGCC